rnacentral:rRNA from 1 species
CAGAGUUGAUCAUGGCUCAGGAUGAACGCUAGCGACAGGCUUAACACAUGCAAGUCGAGGGGCAUCAUGAGGUAGCAAUACCUUGAUGGCGACCGGCGCACGGGUGAGUAACGCGUAUGCAACCUGCCUGAUACCGGGGUAUAGCCCAUGGAAACGUGGAUUAACACCCCAUAGUACUUUUAUCCUGCAUGGGAUGUGAGUUAAAUGUUUAAGGUAUCGGAUGGGCAUGCGUCCUAUUAG